rnacentral:rRNA from 1 species
UACGUAGGGUGCAAGCGUUGUCCGGAAUUAUUGGGCGUAAAGAGCUCGUAGGCGGUUCGUCGCGUCGGCUGUGAAAACCCGGAGCUCAACUCCGGGCCUGCAGUCGAUACGGGCGGACUUGAGUGUUGCAGGGGAGACUGGAAUUCCUGGUGUAGCGGUGAAAUGCGCAGAUAUCAGGGGGAACACCGGUGGCGAAGGCAGCACUCUGGGCCGGUACUGACGCUGAGGAGCGAAAGCGUGGGGAGCAAACAGG